rnacentral:lncRNA from 1 species
UUGACAAUAACUAUGAACACCUGAAAGUGCUGAUGCUUUAUUUACAUAUAUAGUCUAUUUUCUUACUUUUAAUUGGAAAUGACAAUAUGAAGAUUCUAUCUUGUCUGAUCAUUCAGAGGGCUGCAGUUUACCAUGAAAAUAACAUUUUUGGCAUCUUUUGGGCUGGACUGACAGCAACUAUCAUGAUCUGCAGCAAACUACCAUGAUGAUAGGCAUUGAGAGGCCGAUAAUCAAGCAGUGAAAACAUCUGAUAAUCACACCUCUCUGGAAAAUGCCACAGAGACAUAUUAGCAUCAUGUGCUUUUCCUCAAAACCUAAGGAAAAGGAAAAAAGAAAAUGAAAGGCAUUUGAGUCAUGACACACUUAUUUCAGACAGUAAAUAUUUCCAACAGGAUGUUUUUCAAAAAGUUUCCACCCGCACUUGGAAGCACACUGCAAAAUUUGAUAUUCAAAUGUUUGCUUCCCAUGGGUAAAUGAAGCUAGUAAUUGAAAUGUAAACCUUUUGUCAUGUAGGACUUUCCAGGUUUUUUAGGCAAGAGGCUGUUCCAUUAUUCCAGCAUAAUAACCCUGAGGAAAAAAACACAACAGUGUGUCUGAAAAUUUGCAACUUCCUUAAUGCUCUAAAAUGUACCAAGUACUUGAGACUGCCACUACAUUUCUCAGGGCUAAUUUUUCCUAAUAAAAAUAAGUCUGUGUUAAUAUUAGUAGAGUUUAAAACACAAUAACAUUUGGAGGGAAUGUUUAGGAUUUUAGACCUGUGGUAUUGCUGCCUUUGUAAAUGAAUAAUGACAUUCCCACACAUGAAGGUUUAAGGGUAAGAGGGAUCUUUACAGUGUUUUUGUCCUGCAAUUUCUUUGGGGGUUUGGGCCAUUCACUCCUUGCUGGUGAUUAUUUCUGCAGUUUGUUCAGAAGCUUUGUACUAGACAAUUGGAUCCAUAGACAGCUAUUGAAUCAAAUGCCUAAACAGAUAAUUUUGUGCCAGGUGGUCUGGAGCCAGUGGAACUGCAGCAUCCAUGAGAGCAGCACUCAGUCCUGCAGGGAAUGUUCACUCUGUAUCACCACCUGCCAACAGCUUGUAAAAAAGACAGUUCUAGUGGACUGGAAGAGACCAAAUAAGAGGACCAAGGGAAAUAUUUGUUGCAGAGGUCUGUGGAACAGAGUGAAAGAGUUAACAGGAAAUGGAC